AUUGAACGCUGGCGGCAGGCCUAACACAUGCAAGUCGAGCGGAUGAAGGGAGCUUGCCCCUGGAUUCAGCGGCGGACGGGUGAGUAAUGCCUAGGAAUCUGCCUGGUAGUGGGGGAUAACGUCCGGAAACGGGCGCUAAUACCGCAUACGUCCUGAGGGAGAAAGUGGGGGAUCUUCGGACCUCACGCUAUCAGAUGAGCCUAGGUCGGAUUAGCUAGUUGGUGGGGUAAAGGCCUACCAAGGCGACGAUCCGUAACUGGUCUGAGAGGAUGAUCAGUCACACUGGAACUGAGACACGGCCCAGACUCCUACGGGAGGCAGCAGUGGGGAAUAUUGGACAAUGGGCGAAAGCCUGAUCCAGCCAUGCCGCGUGUGUGAAGAAGGUCUUCGGAUUGUAAAGCACUUUAAGUUGGGAGGAAGGGCAGUAAGUUAAUACCUUGCUGUUUUGACGUUACCAACAGAAUAAGCACCGGCUAACUUCGUG
rnacentral:rRNA from 1 species